CCAGAGUCUACGAAUGGGCUCCCUUGGCAUUGCUCGCUGAAACCUCCACCCUGCUGCCCAAGGGUCAUCUCACGUCCCUGCUAAGUCGCAACCCCGAUGAGCCUUCCUGCUCCAUCGACAGGGAGAAUGACUUCAACAUCCAAAUCCGCAUUCCUCCUCGAGGAAUGCCUAUCUGCGCGGAUGACAGGGCCACCAAUGGGGUGCCCUUCGUCUUC
rnacentral:lncRNA from 1 species